UACGGGGGGGGGCAAGCGUUGUUCGGAAUUACUGGGCGUAAAGGGCUCGUAGGCGGCCAACUAAGUCAGACGUGAAAUCCCUCGGCUUAACCGGGGAACUGCGUCUGAUACUGGAUGGCUUGAGUUCGGGAGAGGGAUGCGGAAUUCCAGGUGUAGCGGUGAAAUGCGUAGAUAUCUGGAGGAACACCGGUGGCGAAGGCGGCAUUCUGGACCGAUAUUGACGCUGAGGAGCGAAAGCCAGGGGAGCAAACGGG
rnacentral:rRNA from 1 species